GUAAGUAUAGUUUAACCAAAACGUUAGAUUGUGAUUCUAAAAAUAGGGGUUAAAGUCCCCUUACUCACC
rnacentral:tRNA from 1 species